GGCGCUUUGUCCGAGUGGUCUAAGGAGGUCGACUAGAAUCUGUAUCUACAUCGUUUAGCAUUUGCUGCGCAGGUUCGAAUCCUGCAGGCGUCG